AUUGAAUGCUGGCGGCAGGCCUAACACAUGCAAGUCGAGCGGAUGAAGGGAGCUUGCUCCUGGAUUCAGCGGCGGACGGGUGAGUAAUGCCUAGGAAUCUGCCUGGUAGUGGGGGAUAACGUCCGGAAACGGGCGCUAAUACCGCAUACGUCCUGAGGGAGAAAGUGGGGGAUCUUCGGACCUCACGCUAUCAGAUGAGCCUAGGUCGGAUUAGCUAGUUGGUGAGGUAAAGGCCUACCAAGGCGACGAUCCGUAACUGGCCUGAGAGGAUGAUCAGUCACACUGGAACUGAGACCCGGUCCAGACUCCUACGGGAGGCAGCAGUGGGGAAUAUUGCGCAAUGGGCGAAAGCCUGACCCAGCAACGCCGCGUGUGUGAAGAAGGUCUUCGGAUUGUAAAGCACUUUUAGUUGGGAGGAAGGGCAGUAAGUUUAUACCUUGCUGUUUUGACGUUACCAACAGAAUAAGCACCGGCUAACUUCGUG
rnacentral:rRNA from 1 species